UAUCUCUGUAGAGUCUGCAUAUCAAUAAGCGGAGGAAAAGAAACUAACAAGGAUUCCCUUAGUAACGGCGAGUGAAGCGGGAAGAGCUCAAAUUUGAAAUCUUCAAGGUUCUACCUUGACGAAUUGUAGUUUAAAGAAGUGUUUUCUGUUAGGAGUUGAGUACAAAGUUCCUUUGGAAUCGGGACAUCAUAGAGGGUGAGAAUCCCGUAUUUGACUUAUUCAUUCUAGCUUUGUGAUACACUUUCAAAGAGUCGGAUUGUUUGGGAAUGCAGUCCAAAAUGGGUGGUAAAUUUCAUCUAAAGCUAAAUAUUGGCGAGAGACCGAUAGCGAACGAGUACCGUGAGGGAAAGAUGAAAAGAACUUUGAAAAGAGAGUUAAACAGUACGUGAAAUUGUCAAAAGGGAAGCGUUUGACACCAGUGUUGUUUUUCCGAAAAUCAAUUACGAAUGGCUUGAUUCUGUGUUGUAUUGACCUUAUCAGCUUUCUUCACUUUUUUCGAGUCUUUCUUAAUGCACUUUUCGGUUAACAAGUCAACAUCAAUUUCUUUUGUUGUAAAAGAGUAUUCGGAAGGUGGCUUUCUUUUCGGAGAAAGUGUUUAUAGCCCUAUACUUCUACAAUCGGAGAGAUUGAGGUCUGCAGCGUAGAUCCUUCGGGGUUAGAUACAUUUGUGCUAAGUUGUAGCUUUUCAUAGACAACUUGUUGACUAUGUUUAGUCAUGCGGCUUACUCGCUUAUGCUAUUUUACCUACGCUUAGGAUGUUGACUGAUAUGUAGUCGUA
rnacentral:rRNA from 1 species